rnacentral:rRNA from 1 species
GAUGAACGCUGGCGGCGUGCCUAAUACAUGCAAGUCGAGCGAACAGACGAGGAGCUUGCUCCUCUGACGUUAGCGGCGGACGGGUGAGUAACACGUGGAUAACCUACCUAUAAGACUGGGAUAACUUCGGGAAACCGGAGCUAAUACCGGAUAAUAUAUUGAACCGCAUGGUUCAAUAGUGAAAGACGGUUUUGCUGUCACUUAUAGAUGGAUCCGCGCCGCAUUAGCUAGUUGGUAAGGUAUCGGCUUACCAAGGCAACGAUGCGUAGCCGACCUGAGAGGGUGAUCGGCCACACUGGAACUGAGACACGGUCCAGACUCCUACGGGAGGCAGCAGUAGGGAAUCUUCCGCAAUGGGCGAAAGCCUGACGGAGCAACGCCGCGUGAGUGAUGAAGGUCUUCGGAUCGUAAAACUCUGUUAUUAGGGAAGAACAAAUGUGUAAGUAACUAUGCACGUCUUGACGGUACCUAAUCAGAAAGCCACGGCUAACUACGUG